UGUCGGUUCUUUAGAUGUUUGGGAGAACUCAUUAGAGAAACCAUCUGCCCAUGGCUUUCCUUUGCUAUGGGCUUUUGAUUACUGAGUCAGUCUCCUCCUUAAAAGUCUAUUCAGCUUUCCUUUUUCUCUCUGUUUCUUUUUUGGCAGACUGUGUUUGAAGAACGUAUGCUUUAAAUAGGCUAAAUUAGGGUUCCAGCAUUGUUCAUCAUAUGCACGACUCUAUGUUCAUCAUAUGCGAGUAAGUUGUAAUGUGUCCAAUUUACUUACUAUUUUUACCUACUGAGUCUGUAUUAGUUGAUGUUUCAUGGCUGGGGUAAAGCAGCAUAACCAAGACAACUUAUAGAAGAGAGUUUUCUUUGGCUCAUGGUUCCUGAAGAUUAAGACUAUCACUGUAGGGAAGUGAACAUAUUAGCAAGUUGUAGACAUGGGGGUGGAAGAAGCAGGAAGUGGAGAGAUCACAUUUCAACCAUAAACAAGAGGAAGAGGAAGCAAACUGGAAGUAGGUGAAGCUUACUCCAAUAGAUUACUUCCUGCAGCAAGGGUGUACCUCCCAAAAUGCUUGCAAACACACCUUCAACAGGAAGCAACGUAUUUAAUUAACUGAGCACCUGGUUCGAUUCGAACAUAACCAAAGAGAAGAAGAUGAAAAGGAGUUGAAGAUUAGCAGGGAGGAGUCCUGAGAUGACUGCCCAGGCAGGAGAAUGAAAAAGUGUAGGAGAGCUGAAAAGUCUCUGGCUUCAUCUAGCCACACGAGAUGAGCAGACUGUGAUACACGGAUUUACCCCUCGGCUGGAGCUCAUUGAACUAGGCCUGGAGUCUGGAUCCAAUCAGAACAGAGCAGAUUCACUUGCCUGCUCAUCAGAACUUGGGCCUCUGGGGAUUCUUUGCUUAAAAUAUGAUGGACCAUUGAGAGCUAUUCCUUGGGAGGUCAAGGUAGCUUGGGCUAAGUGGACAAUACAGAGAGAUGCUAUGCUGAGAUGCAAACAUGGAGGACAUUCUGAGAAUGGUGGCUGUCUUAGUUGGGGUUUCCACUGGUGUAAUAAAUCACCAUGAUCUGUAGAAACUAGAGGAAGGAGGGGGCUUGUUUCAUCUUGUAGCAUGUAGUCCAUCAUCCAGGGAAGCUGGGGCAGGAAGGUGGGGACACUCUCUCAAUCAUGGUUCUCCCUUCCCAGAUGACUCUUUUUGUGUCAAGUUAACGAAUCACGAGACAGUGCGGUGGUGGAGGUGAGCAGGACAGUCUGAAAGGAAGUCCUUCCCAUUUCAAAAGACUGGAACAAGAACCACGGAGGUCUCUACUAUUUGACAGUGGGAAUGGGGACUCCCUCUACUCUAAGUGGCUAGGACAAGAUGCUUAGACGCUUCUACUGUCUGACAGGGGAUGUGGGGCUCUGUUCCUCCCCAGAGAGCAACAAAUAGUGUAGAGAGUCCUCUCCUAAGUAGAGUUUCCCUCCACCCUAGGACACCCUGAGAGACAUUAUCUGAGGCCUAUGCACCUGUUGAAGCUGAGCCACCAGGAACUUUGCACGGAGGUACCUUUUGAGUGAUAUCUGCACAGCAAGGACUCUAAGAAACAGAGAUGUGAUCUCUGAAGUCUAAAGGAUAAUUUAUUUUUUGAGAAGGAUAAUGAAGAUAACAUCCAUUGACUAGGGCAAAGGUUUAACAGGCUUGCAAUGUGCUCCUUCGAAGAUAAAGAUCUCUCAAGCUUAGGGAUUACUCUAGGUUGAUGUGUAGGCAUCUUCCAGAGAACUUCAUAAGCUACAGGGAGUGGAAGGGAGGUAGGAGAAGGAAGCUGGAGAAGGCCAGGUCAGCUCUGCCCUGAGCCCUUGUGCUAACCCAGCUUUCUUCCAACUGCCCCGAAAUUAUGAUAACCUAAUCAGUUAGCUUCCUAGGAGGACAAGCAGUCAAGGCAGCCUUUCUCAGUUGCUGGCAGAGGUAAGGAAUAAGCUAGUGACUAAACUGCUAAAUCAGAGAAAAUGGCAGGGUUAGAUACGAGCAAAGUAAAACUCCCAUUGCUCAGCUCCCCCAGCUUCCAGGCAGAACUGCAGGAACUUUUCCGAAUCUAUUUUUAAACAUGAUCAUUGCAUCCCGAACACUGGAAGGCAGCACGUUCCGCGCACUGCCUCUCACAUCAUCUGAUUGUGAAUCUGAAUGUCCAAAACUCACAUGGUGCUGAAAUCACUCUUCACACAUCCCCGUAAUUUUCUUCCUGAAGCUGUGUGGGAAGAUGAUGAGAAAGGAUACCCCAACCUCCCAGAACACACAGACAUUCCCAGUGAAAAUCUGAGGGCACAGAUUCCCUCUGAAUCCACACUGAAUCCACACACAGGAGACCUACGUUUGAGAGGAUGCAGGUUCUGAAUUCUGUGCUGAGCAUUUUGUGUGUGCUAGGUGAAUCGCUUCUUCUAAACAGGGUGGACCACAGUGUGACAGAAUUAUCUUCUAACAUUAUUAUCAUAUUGCCUUAUUUGACAAGGUAAGAACUCCAGUGUUCUUAGGAUGAGAAAACAGGGGCUUGAAGAGGUCAGUGAUGGGCCAAAACAAAAACUAUUUUUUUUUGUUUUGCAAACAAAAAGAAAACUAAUCAUAAUGAAAUGAGAAUGACCACCAUUUUCCACAGGCAGAAGUCAAUGGCACCAGCUAAGUUGAACAUUUUUCAUGUCUCACUGUUAUCAAGCCCUCCAGUUCCUCUCUAGCCUUCCAUCCUCGGCCUACUGGCUAUCUCAUUGGUCACAGUCCCAAACAGGUCGAGCAACUCCAAGCAUCAUAGCUCUGUGAGAGAAAGGCCAAACCUUUCCUGGCCCACUUACCUCCCUGGUCAGAGUUGAAACUCUUGCCCACCCUGCAAUCAAUGCUGGGUCCCAGGAAGGAAGCCAAUGUGAGAAUAUGCACAUGUAAAUUGCCACAUUAAAAACGGAAGAUCUACCCACAAGGAGAAGGAGGCAAUGGAGUUUGGGAGGUGCAAGAGAGGGUCUAAUAUCUUCUAGGGUUUGGUAGUAGUAACUACAGAAGUAGUAACUGAACAGAAGGGUUUCACUGCUCCAUCUCCCUACAUGUUUGUAAUGUACUUUGAUCAUAACACCCCCCAUUAUAAUCUGUUCUUGCGCCUCCCUCAGCAAACUGAUCCCCUUAUUCUUCCCAAAUACUGCCGCUACUGUGUUUAUGUCUUUCUUUUAAAAUAUAGAUUCCCCAUAUAAUAAAAAACACAUGGUGUUUGUCUCUCUGAGCCUGAUUUAUUCAGUUAACACAGUGAUCUUUGGUUCAAUUUUCUGCAAUUGAUAAUUUUCCUCUUUAUGGCCGAGUAAAACUCACCAUGCAUAUAGAGCAUGUUUUCUUUGUCCACUCAGAUGUUGGUGAGCAUUUAGGUCGGUACGGUAACAGAACAUCUGUAAACAGUAAAAGCUCUACUCUAAACUUCAAGGUCCUCACUACCCUCAUAACAGGAAUGUUGCUCUCCUGAGAGACACAGCCAGAAUACAGCAAAUACAGAGGCGAAUGCCAUCAUUAAACCACUGAACUGAGAACAGGACCCCCGUUGAAGGAAUCAGAGAAAGGACUGAAAGAGCUUGAAGGGGCUUGAGACCCCCAUAUGAACAACAGUGCCAACCAACCAGAGCUUCCAGGGACUAAGCCACUACCCAAAGACUAUACAUGGACUGACCCUGGACUCCAACCUCAUAGGUAGCAAUGAAUAUCCUAGUAAGAGCACCAGUGGAAGGAAAAGCCCUUGGUCCUGCCAAGACUGAACCCCCAGUGAACGUGAUUGUUGGGGGGAGGGUAGUA